ACUUUUACCUAAUUAAAUGCAAUUAAAAUUAAAAUUUGAAGUUCCAGUUACCUAAAGUUCCAGAAACUUGAAUUGGACGGCGAUAGCGAGGUGUGAUUCCUCGAGUAAAUGUUGCCCCUGUUAUUUCCAAGCCACACGUCGUAACCCGCGUCAGCUAACAAAAUCGAAAGACUCGCGUAAACGUACCUAAGGACUUGCCAGGACCCAUAAGGACCCAGCCGACGGAGCUUCCUGCCAUACCGUGCACCAAAAGUAUCGGCGUUCUUCUCUCGGAUCUCGUUUCAUCGUUGUUAUUCAGACCGUACGGUAUACGAUGCAAUUGCAAGAUGUAGCCAUCGGCUGUAACGAUAUCGUGAAUCUCCGAGGGAUACUUGUACUUCGUCACCAAUUCGGGCUGUCCAUCGCACGAAAAUUAUCAAGUUACAAGACACGUCACUUAUCACGUUUACUCGAGGAGUUCCGGUCACGAGACACUACAAGUGUCGAGAUACGAGAGGACAAGCGAAUAAGCAUUAAAUAACCCGGUUUAAUAUUAAACAUUCUAUUGCCUUUUGCGGCGCGUAAUUCAUAUGCGUCAGCGUAUGCAGUACCACACACCGUAGGUUAGCUAUGUAGUCCGAGCAAAAAGCAGAAGGUCAAGAAAGAACGAAAGAACUUACU